rnacentral:rRNA from 1 species
UACGUAGGCAGUAAGCGUUGUUCGGAGUUACUGGGCGUAAAGGGUGUGUAGGCGGUUGGGUAAGUGUGGUGUGAAAUCUCCCGGCUUAACUGGGAGGGUGCGCUACAAACUGUCUGACUAGAGUAUGGGAUGGGAGAGUGGAAUUCCUGGUGUAGCGGUGAAAUACGUAGAUACCAGGAGGAACACCGGUGGUGUAGACGGCUCUCUGGACCAUUACUGACGCUGAGACACGAAAGCGUGGGUAGCAAACAGG